rnacentral:rRNA from 1 species
CAGCAGCCACGGUAAAACGAAGGGGGCUAGCGUUGUUCGGAUUUACUGGGCGUAAAGGGCGCGUAGGCGGACUGAUAAGUCAGGGGUGAAAUCCCAAGGCUCAACCUUGGAACUGCCUUUGAUACUGUUUGUCUUGAGUUCGAGAGAGGUAAGUGGAACUGCGAGUGUAGAGGUGAAAUUCGUAGAUAUUCGCAAGAACACCAGUGGCGAAGGCGGCUUACUGGCUCGAUACUGACGCUGAGGCGCGAAAGCGUGGGGAGCAAACAGGAUUAGAGACCCGCGUAGUCCCUGUCUCUUAUAC